rnacentral:rRNA from 1 species
GACGAACGCUGGCGGCGUGCCUAACACAUGCAAGUCGAGCGAACAAACAAGGCUUGCGCUCCGGCGACGCAACCGACGGACGGGUGACAAACACGUAGAUAACCCACCUAAAAGACACAGCCAACGUCGACAAACCGGAACUACGGCCGGACACAAUAUUCAACCGUAUGGUUCAAAAGUGAAACUCCGGCUUGCUGACACGUAUAGACGCACCCGCGCCGCAUUAGUUAGUUGGUUAGGUAACGGCUUACCAAGGCAACGAUGGGUAGCCGGCCUGAGAGGAUGAUCGGCCACACUGGAACUGAGACACGGUCCAGACUCCUACGGGAGGCAGCAGUGGGGAAUCUUGCGCAAUGGGCGAAAGCGUGACGGAGCAACGCCGCGUGAGUGAUGAAGGUCUUCGGGUCGUAAACCUCUGUUAGUAGGGACGAACAAAUGUGUAAGUAUAUAUGCACGUAUUGACGGUACCUAAACAAGAAGCCACGGCUAACUACGUG